rnacentral:ncRNA from 2 species
CAAUCUAGCGAGAGCUAACUUCGUAUAAUCCCACUAAUCAGCAUCCUUAGCUUUAGGUGUGGGAGUCUCUACCAGAAGCCUCAAUUUCUGAUUACGAAGAGUAAGCGAGCGAUC